UUCCAGACUCCUACGGGAGGCAGCAGUGGGGAAUUUUGGACAAUGGGCGCAAGCCUGAUCCAGCUAUUCCGCGUGUGGGAUGACGGCCCUCGGGUUGUAAACCACUUUAGUAGAGAACGAAAAGGAGCUAUCGAAUAAAUAGCUCUGCUGACGGUACUCUAAGAAUAAGCAUCGGCUAACUACGUGCCAGCAGCCGCGGUCAUACGUAGGAUCCGAGCAUUAUCCGGAGUGACUGGGUGUAAAGAGUUGCGUAGGUGGCAUAAUAAGUAGCUAGUGAAAUCUGGUGGCUCAACCAUUCAGACUAUUAGCUAAACUGUUAAGCUCGAGACCGUUAGGGGUAACUGGAAUUUCUAGUGUAGGAGUGAAAUCCGUAGAUAUUAGAAGGAACACCGAUAGCGUAGGCAGGUUACUGGGACGGUUCUGACACUAAGGCACGAAAGCGUAGGGAGCAAACGGGAUUAGAUACCCCUGUA
rnacentral:rRNA from 1 species